rnacentral:rRNA from 1 species
GACGAACGCUGGCGGCGUGCUUAACACAUGCAAGUCGAACGAUGAAGCCGGAGCUUGCUCUGGUGAAUUAGUGGCGAACGGGUGAGUAACACGUGAGUAACCUGCCCUUGACUCUGGGAUAACUGCUAGAAAUGGUAGCUAAUACCGGAUACGACCCUCGGCGGCAUCGCCAGGGGGUGGAAAGAAUUUCGGUCAAGGAUGGACUCGCGGCCUAUCAGCUAGUUGGUGAGGUAACGGCUCACCAAGGCGACGACGGGUAGCCGGCCUGAGAGGGUGACCGGCCACACUGGGACUGAGACACGGCCCAGACGCCUACGGGAGGCAGCAGUGGGGAAUAUUGCACGAUGGGCGCAAGCCUGAUGCAGCAACGCCGCGUGAGGGAUGACGGCCUUCGGGUUGUAAACCUCUUUUAGUAGGGAAGAAGCGAAAGUGACGGUACCUGCAGAAGAAGCACCGGCUAACUACGUGCCAGCCGCCGCCGUAA